GCCCCCGUAGCUCAGCGGAUAGAGCAGGAGCCUUCUAAUCUCUUGGUCGCAGGUUCGAUUCAUCUCUUGGUCGCAGGUUCGAUUCCUGCCGGGGGCACCA
rnacentral:tRNA from 1 species